rnacentral:rRNA from 1 species
UACAUUCAUAUCAAUAUACACAUAUAAAUAAAAUAUCCUUUCAAUUAUAGUACACGUAUGUCUCAUCAGCUACAAUAGAUAUCCACGUAUGUCUCAUCAGCAACAGUAGACAUCCACGUUUGUCUCAAAUACACUUAAACUUAUAGUAGUCGAUUAGCACAGGGAAAUGAAGAUGAUACUUCUACCCCACUUUGUAUUUAACUAAACGUUUGUCCCCUUUCUCUCUGGUUUCAUUUCUAAAGUGUCGAGGAUACCUCUACUCCACGGUUAAACGACAUACUUUUUCGUAUCAGACCUCCUUAUGGUUAACAUCGUGAUGUAAUAAUAUACGUGACUUGUGGCUCGUCUUGAGAUAACUUCUUACUUCUACGUACGAGAAUCGAAUAAAGGAACCUUAUUACUACAUGCUACGAAGGUAAACUAAAACUAAACCACAUUUGUAUAUCUAUGUUUAGUUAUGCAAUUAUCGUUUAGGUAUACGGUACCUUAUCUUAAAUACAAACAUCUACGAGAUACAAUCCUCGAGGAAGAUUAAUUUUUCAACAACUCAUUUCGGUUGUCUACUCAUUGAAGAUCUAAUAUUAAAAAAAUAAGAUCCAAUUUAGAUUGUUCUCUGUAGUGGUUGGUUUUUGGAUUGUUGAGUAGUUGAAUCAAUAUUACGAUAGGAUUGACAAUUCUCUGUAUUAUUGAUUUCUUCUAUGUUUAAGAGUGACCCUACUCGAGAUGUUUGUCGACCAUGUACUGUUACAUACACACGACCUUACUCUUUGAGUGUGUGACGCUUUCCAUGCUGGAGACUACGAUACCUGAGACUACAAUAUCUUCGAUACUAAACACUACGAUUAGAACGUACAAAUCUGGACGAUACUAGCUUAAACGAGUUUAAUAAGACACCACAUAAUUUAUUGUACGGGAAAACAUCAAACAUAAACGACUGUAUAUAUUUUAAAGUAAACCCGGUAAGCAAUGUCAUGAAGAUAAUACACAAGAACUCGCUGCUAAUUAUGUAAUUAUGGCUCCCUCAGGAGAUAGGUCACUAAAACAGCAUGCAUUAUAAUAGAAUGUGUUCAAUGAUAGUUACCAUAUUAAACUAGUCACAACAUAAGUCAAUCUUUCCUUAAAGAAAAGUCACUGAUGGGAAGGUUUAAAACAUGGUUAUUAUCAACAGAAAACAUUUCUAUAAAGAGAUUUAUAAAAUGAAGUACUAGUCACCAGAUCGACCGUGUUAAGAGAUCAUAUAACAUAUUUAGUAAAAUUGAAAAGUUUCACUGGCCUAAGAUAUAUCUAACAACCAAUAACACACGAUAUCAACAGAAUCAUCACGAGCGUGAGUAAUUACCUACUAAAAAAAUGUCUGGAGAGGAAGUUAUGAAAAAAAUUAUACCACUACUUUCAGGCUUCUUGUUAAGAAUACGGGUACCCGUGACUCAUUACUCAUUAAGUUCGAGCCCAGAACCAUCACCCUAUUUACCUUUUAGUAUAGCUAAUUAUUGAUUUAUGUUUUGAUUUAAACGUCCAACCGGCCGCUCGCGACCGUGGUUGGUCUCCUACGUAACCGCGUGUCUCUUCACGGUCAAGUACGGCUACUCGCUACUAACAGUUACCUCUAAUGUACACCGACGCCUUCGUAUUUUUCGUACCACUAUUCUUUCCUAACUAGUCCAAACAUAACAGACUGCGUAAACACGUUCUUGGUUCAUUAACGAUGUCAUGGUCAAUCCAACGAGACCCUCCUGAAGAAAGACGGUAUUCCUAAUUUCGUGGAACUAACUAAGUACCUCCUGCGUGGUUUGUUCCUAAUAAAUGAUGACCUAGAUGGCCGGUCUUUUUGUCUCGUGUGCGGGUACUAACGGG